rnacentral:rRNA from 1 species
AACAGAGGGGACAAGUGUUAUUCUACAUUACUGGGCGUAAAGCGUGCGCAGGCGGCUUUGCAAGACAGAUGUGAAAUCCCCGGGCUUAACCUGGGAACUGCAUUUGUGACUGCAUGGCUGGAGUGCGGCAGAGGGGGAUGGAAUUCCGCGUGUAGCAGUGAAAUGCGUAGAUAUGCGGAGGAACACCGAUGGCGAAGGCAAUCCCCUGGGCCUGCACUGACGCUCAUGCACGAAAGCGUGGGGAGCAAACAGG